rnacentral:tRNA from 1 species
GCGGUGGUGGUUCGGUGGUAGAAUUCUCAUCUUCCAAGUGGGAGACCUGAGUUCGAUUUUCAGCCAACGCA